UACGUAGGGGGCUAGCGUUGUCCGGAAUCAUUGGGCGUAAAGAGCGUGUAGGCGGUCCGGUAAGUCCGCUGUGAAAGUCGGGGGCUUAACCCUCGGAUGCCGGUGGAUACUGUCGGGCUUGAGUACGGAAGAGGCGAGUGGAAUUCCUGGUGUAGCGGUGAAAUGCGCAGAUAUCAGGAGGAACACCAAUUGCGAAGGCAGCUCGCUGGGACGUUACUGACGCUGAGACGCGAAAGCGUGGGGAGCAAACAGG
rnacentral:rRNA from 1 species